UACGUAGGGUGCGAGCGUUAAUCGGAAUUACUGGGCGUAAAGGGUGCGUAGGCGGUUGUUUAAGUCUGUCGUGAAAUCCCCGGGCUCAACCUGGGAAUGGCGAUGGAUACUGGACAGCUAGAGUGUGUCAGAGGAUGGUGGAAUUUCCGGUGUAGCGGUGAAAUGCGUAGAGAUCGGAAGGAACAUCAGUGGCGAAGGCGGCCAUCUGGGACAACACUGACGCUGAAGCACGAAAGCGUGGGGAGCAAACAGG
rnacentral:rRNA from 1 species